rnacentral:rRNA from 1 species
AAGUCGUUCUCAGUUCGGAUUGUAGGCUGCAACUCGCCUACAUGAAGCCGGAAUCGCUAGUAAUCGCGGAUCAGCAUGCCGCGGUGAAUACGUUCCCGGGCCUUGUACACACCGCCCGUCACACCACGAGAGUUUGUAACACCCGAAGUCGGUGGGGUAACCUUUAUGGAGCCAGCCGCCGAAGGCGGGAUAGAUGAUUGGGGUGAAGUCGUAACAAGGUAGCCGUAUCGGAAGGUGCGGCUGGAUCACCUCCUUUCUAAGGA